UACGUAGGGUGCGAGCGUUAAUCGGAAUUACUGGGCGUAAAGUGUGCGCAGGCGGCCGAGCAAGUCGAGUGUGAAAGCCCCGAGCUUAACUUGGGAAUUGCGCUCGAAACUACUUGGCUGGAGUGUGGCAGAGGAAGGUGGAAUUCCAGGUGUAGCGGUGAAAUGCGUAGAUAUCGGGAAGAACACCCGUGGCGAAGGCGGCUCUCUGGGACGGUACUGACGCUGAGACGCGAAAGCGUGGGGAGCAAACAGG
rnacentral:rRNA from 1 species